UACGUAGGGUGCAAGCGUUGUCCGGAGUUACUGGGCGUAAAGGGUGUGUAGGCGGUUCUUUAAGUUUGGUGUGAAAUCUCCCGGCUCAACCGGGAGGGUGCGCCGAAUACUGAGGGACUAGAGUGUGGGAGAGGAAAGUGGAAUUCCUGGUGUAGCGGUGAAAUGCGUAGAUAUCAGGAGGAACACCGGUGGUGUAGACGGCUUUCUGGACCAUAACUGACGCUGAGACACGAAAGCGUGGGUAGCAAACAGG
rnacentral:rRNA from 1 species